GACUUGAAUGAAGCUGACACCAAGAACCACGGGAAGAGCUUGGGCCCAGAGCAGGAAAGAGAAACGCUCGAGUUGGGGAGGAACCGCUGCUGCUGGCCGAACUCAAGCCUGGGCGCCCCCACCAGUUUGAUUGGAAGUCCAGCUGUGAAACCUGGAGCGUCGCCUUCUCCCCAGAUGGCUCCUGGUUCGCUUGGUCUCAAGGACACUGCAUCGUCAAACUGAUCCCCUGGCCGCUGGAGGAGCAGUUCAUCCCUAAAGGGUUUGAAGCCAAAAGCCGAAGUGGCAAAAAUGAGACGAAAGGGCGGGGCAGCCCAAAAGAGAAGACGCUGGACUGUGGUCAGAUUGUCUGGGGGCUGGCCUUCAGCCCGUGGCCUUCCCCACCCAGCAGGAAGCUCUGGGCACGCCACCACCCCCAAGUGCCCGAUGUCUCUUGCCUGGUUCUCGCUACGGGACUCAACGAUGGGCAGAUCAAGAUCUGGGAGGUGCAGACAGGGCUCCUGCUUUUGAAUCUUUCCGGCCACCAAGAUGUCGUGAGAGAUCUGAGCUUCACACCCAGUGGCAGUUUGAUUUUGGUCUCCGCGUCGCGG
rnacentral:sRNA from 1 species